rnacentral:rRNA from 1 species
CCUACGGGAGGCAGCAGUGAGGAAUAUUGCGCAAUGGAGGCAACUCUGACGCAGCCAUGCCGCGUGCAGGAAGAAGGCGCUACGCGUUGUAAACUGCUUUUAUCCGGGAAGAAACCCCAGGACGUGUCCUGGGUUGACGGUACCGGAGGAAUAAGCACCGGCUAACUUCGUGCCAGCAGCCGCGGUAAUACGAAGGGUGCAAGCGUUAUCCGGAUUCAUUGGGUUUAAAGGGUGCGUAGGCGGAACAAUAAGUCAGCGGUGAAAUCCUGCAGCUCAACUGUAGAAUUGCCGUUGAUACUGUUGUUCUUGAGUACGCUUGACGUGGGCGGAAUGUGCCGUGUAGCGGUGAAAUGCUUAGAUAUGGCACAGAACACCGAUAGUGAAGACAGCUCACGAAGGCGAAACUGACGCUGAGGCACGAAAGCGUGGGGAUCAAACAGGAUUAGAUACCCUGGUAGUCCACGCCGUAAACGAUGAUCACUCGAGGUUGGCGAUAUACGGUCGGCCCCCUAGCGAAAGCGUUAAGUGAUCCACCUGGGGAGUACGAUCGCAAGAUUGAAACUCAAAGGAAUUGACGG